UACGUAGGGCGCAAGCGUUAUCCGGAAUUAUUGGGCGUAAAGAGCUCGUAGGCGGUCUGUCACGUCGGCUGUGAAAACCCGGGGCUCAACCCCGGGCCUGCAGUCGAUACGGGCAGACUAGAGUGUGGUAGGGGAGACUGGAAUUCCUGGUGUAGCGGUGAAAUGCGCAGAUAUCAGGAGGAACACCGGUGGCGAAGGCGGGUCUCUGGGCCAUAACUGACGCUGAGGAGCGAAAGCGUGGGGAGCGAACAGG
rnacentral:rRNA from 1 species